AACCCUAAUUUCAUUUCUCCCUCUUUCAUCAGUGUUUCCCUUUCCCCUCUCUCUAAUCUCUCAUUCUUUUUCUCGCUACCGAAGAAGAACACGCAACCCUGGCCACCGUAGAUCGAUGGCCAUGGGGUUUUACACACUACAACAGCCUCACCCUAAAACCAACCUAAAAAACUAAUCCCCCACCUACAACCGAAGCUUAAAACCCCAAGCUCCAAAUGUAAGAACCUUACCUCCGAAGAUAGAAUCCAGUCACUCCGAUGAAGCAGCGUUGACCAGAUCGGUUAAGGGUUUUGGUGAUGAUGGCGGCGGCUUACGCGACUGAGGAGGCUCCGGUGAAACUCACGCACUGGUCUGGGGACGAAACGUCGGGCGCGUGUACCAAAGACACCGACGAUGGCUGUUCAACUUCCACAAAAGGCAGCGGUGGUUAUUGGAUUAUGGUUUAGAAACCCUAAUCUAUUUGAGUCUGCUAGUGGGCCGGUUCGGGUCGGGUUUGCUGACUGUUGGGCUCAACUGGAGCCUGGCUUGGGUUGGGUUAAAUGCUGGGUCACUGGGUAAGCUUUUUUGUUUUGGAUUGGGCUAGUUGGUUUGGGCUUCGAGUCAGCAUGGGCUUAUGUUGUAAUUGGGUUGGCCUGCAAAAAUGUAUAAUAUAUAAGUUAAAAUAAUAAUAAUAAUAAUAAUAAUAAUAAUA